GACGUAGGGCGCGAGCGUUGUCCGGAUUUAUUGGGCGUAAAGAGCUCGUAGGCGGCUUGUCGCGUCGUCCGUGAAAACUUGGGGCUCAACCCCAAGCUUGCGGUCGAUACGGGCAGGCUAGAGUUCGGUAGGGGAGACUGGAAUUCCUGGUGUAGCGGUGAAAUGCGCAGAUAUCAGGAGGAACACCGGUGGCGAAGGCAGGUCUCUGGGCCGAUACUGACGCUGAGGAGCGAAAGCGUGGGGAGCGAACAGG
rnacentral:rRNA from 1 species